rnacentral:rRNA from 1 species
CCUACGGGUGGCAGCAGUGAGGAAUAUUGGUCAAUGGGCGCGAGCCUGAACCAGCCAAGUAGCGUGAAGGAUGACUGCCCUACGGGUUGUAAACUUCUUUUAUAAAGGAAUAAAGUGAGGCACGUGUGCCUUUUUGUAUGUACUUUAUGAAAAAGCAUCGGCUAACUCCGUGCCAGCAGCCGCGGUAAUACGGGGGAUGCGAGCGUUAUCCGGAUUCAUUGGGUUUAAAGGGUGCGCAGGGGGGCCUUUAAGCCGGCGGUGAAAUCGCGGGGCCCAACCCCGCCGCGCCGUCGGAACUGGGGGCCGUGAGGGCGGCGGAGGCAGGCGGAAUGAGCGGUGUAGCGGUGAAAUGCAUAGAUAUCGCGCAGAACCCCGAUUGCGAAGGCAGCGUGCCGGGCCGCCACUGACGCUGAGGCACGAAAGCGCGGGGAUCGAACAGGAUUAGAUACCGAGUAGUC